rnacentral:rRNA from 1 species
CCAAUAGCGUAUAUUAAAGUUGUUGCAGUUAAAAAGCUCGUAGUUGAAUUUCGGGGUCAAUAAGUUGGUCGUGCCAAUGGUAUGCACUGGCUUUAUUGAUUCCUACCUCUUGACGAACUGUGAUGCCAUUAAUUUGGUGUUGCAAGGAAUCAGGACUGUUACCUUGAAAAAAUUAGAGUGUUUAAAGCAAGCUUACGCUUGAAUACAUUAGCAUGGAAUAAUGAAAUAGGACGUUUGAUCCUAUUUUGUUGGUUUCUAGGAUCGACGUAAUGAUUAAUAGGGAUAGUUGGGGGCAUUAGUAUCCAAUUGUCAGAGGUGAAAUUCUUGGAUUUAUUGAAGACUAACUACUGCGAAAGCAUUUGCCAAGGAUGUUUUCAUUAAUCAAGAACGAAAGUUAGGGGAUCGAAGACGAUCAGGUACCGUCGUAGUCUUAACCAUAAACUAUGCCGACUAGGGAUCGGAUGAUGUUAAUUUUUUAAUGACUCAUUCGGCGCCUUACG